GAGCAAAACGUCGACAUCUUUUCCUCCUGCACCUUAUCCACUCUACUGCAGCUCCGCGGCCGCCGCCCCGCUCCUCCUCCUGGCCACGCGCCGCUUCUUCUCCCAAAUCCACCGCCUCGUUCCUCGAUUCCAUGGCGGAGAAGGGGAAGAAAUACCACUCUAUGGAGAGAGAGGGGCCAGAGCGCCAUUCACGCGCGGUGACCACCAGGCGGAGGUAGGAGGGAGGGGGUCUGGGCGGCACUGCUUCCCCUGUGCGACGUGUUCGUGCGGGCGCGAGGGCUGGAGGAGGGAGAGGGACCCGUGCGUCCGUGCAACAACGUGACCAUCUCGCCUGUGGCGCCUUCGUCAGCAGUUAAGCAAAUCACCAGUUUGUGGACAACGGCGAGAAUUGCGGCGAGGUGGAUGCGGCACAGACGCGCAGUACAUCACUAUAGAUUCCCCUCUAGCGCUUCGUCCACAGGGUGAUGCGUUCUGACUUCUGAAUCAGUUUUGGAUUUGCCAAUUGAGUUGCCGCAGGCAUGAGCGCGAGUUGCAUGGAGAUUUGAUGCGAGUUUGCUAGAGUUUGCGAUUAGGAGUUGGCUGGGACGAGCAAAAUCGUGAUUAGCAGCAGCCUGAAUUGACCCAGCAUGCAUAGGGGUUCAUUCAAGUUAUUAGUGCAUGGUCAUGUCCACCAGAGGAGAUGGGGGGCGAGAUGGAACUUUCAUCUGGGUCAAGAUCUUUCUUUUUUGGAAUGGAGGAUGGAGGCAUGCAUUGGGUUGGUGAGAUGGACAACAUGUGGGGCGUGGGGGGCCUUUUUGCGUUCCUGUUUCAGAAUCAGAAGGGAACUCACGUCCUUUUUCGUGCACGUGAUCGGGGAGGGUUGCUGAUUGGUGCACGAGAGAUUUUUUCCUGUUUCUGAUUGGUGCGCGGGGGCCAGUUGUUGGGACUUCCUGUUUUGGUUCCUCUUUUUAGACGGGGGAGAUAUAUUUCCUUAAAUGGGGUGUAUGCCAGGGAACUCUAGGGAGCACACCUGUGCUCCCUAGUCGUGUCCACAAACAAAAAUACCUUGGGACAACAAAAACAUAAUUUUGUGCCAUAAAAA